rnacentral:rRNA from 1 species
AACGAACGCUGGCGGCAUGCCUAACACAUGCAAGUCGAACGAGAUCUUCGGGUCUAGUGGCGCACGGGUGCGUAACGCGUGGGAUUCUGCCCUUUGGUUCGGAAUAACAGUUGGAAACGACUGCUAAUACCGGAUGAUGACGAAAGUCCAAAGAUUUAUCGCCAGAGGAUGAGCCCGCGUAGGAUUAGCUAGUUGGUGUGGUAAAGGCGCACCAAGGCGACGAUCCUUAGCUGGUCUGAGAGGAUGAUCAGCCACACUGGGACUGAGACACGGCCCAGACUCCUACGGGAGGCAGCAGUGGGGAAUAUUGGACAAUGGGCGAAAGCCUGAUCCAGCAAUGCCGCGUGAGUGAUGAAGGCCUUAGGGUUGUAAAGCUCUUUUACCCGGGAUGAUAAUGAUAGUACCGGGAGAAUAAGCUCCGGCUAACUCCGUGCCAGCAGCCGCAGUAA